GACGAACGCUGGCGGUGUGCUUAACACAUGCAAGUCGAACGGUAAGGCCCUUUCGGGGGUACACGAGUGGCGAACGGGUGAGUAACACGUGAGUAACCUGCCCUCAUCUCUGGGAUAACAGUCGGAAACGGUUGCUAAUACUGGAUAUGAGCCUGCAAGGCAUCUUGUGGGUUGGAAAGAUUUUUUGGUUGGGGAUGGACUCGCGGCCUAUCAGCUUGUUGGUGAGGUAGUGGCUCACCAAGGCUUCGACGGGUAGCCGGCCUGAGAGGGCGACCGGCCACAUUGGGACUGAGAUACGGCCCAAACUCCUACGGGAGGCAGCAGUGGGGAAUAUUGCACAAUGGACGGAAGUCUGAUGCAGCAACGCCGCGUGCGGGAUGACGGCCUUCGGGUUGUAAACCGCUUUCAAUUGUGACGAAGUUUUUUGUGACGGUAGCAGUAGAAGAAGCACCGGCUAACUACGUG
rnacentral:rRNA from 1 species